rnacentral:rRNA from 1 species
UACGGAGGGUGCGAGCGUUAUCCGGAAUUACUGGGUUUAAAGGGUGCGUAGGCGGCCAAGUAAGUCAGGAGUGAAAGUUUGCGGCUCAACCGUAAAAUUGCUUUUGAUACUGCCAGGCUAGAAUUAGGAUGAGGUCAGCGGAAUGUGGCAUGUAGCGGUGAAAUGCAUAGAUAUGCCAUAGAACACCAAUUGCGAAGGCAGCUGGCUAGACCUGGAUUGACGCUGAGGCACGAAAGCGUGGGGAGCGAACAGG